UCUCCGUUGGUGAACCAGCGGAGGGAUCAUUACAGAGUUUUCACAACUCCCAACCCUUGCGAACCGUACCCAUUCUGUUCUCGUUGCUUCCGGCGGGGGGGACGGGGGGGCCCGAAACGGCCUCCCCGCCCCGCCCGCCGGGGGCGGCGGGCCCUACGAACCUUCAUAUCUCAACCAUCAGAAACCGUCUGAGAAAACAAACAAAAUAAUCAAAACUUUCAACAACGGAUCUCUUGGCUCUG
rnacentral:misc_RNA from 1 species